CGGGGGGAGCAAGCGUUGUUCGGAUUUACUGGGCGUAAAGGGCGCGUAGGCGGCCACCGCAAGUCGACUGUGAAAUCUCCGGGCUUAACUCGGAAAGGUCAGCCGAUACUGCGGGGCUAGAGUGCAGAAGGGGCAACUGGAAUUCUCGGUGUAGCGGUGAAAUGCGUAGAUAUCGAGAGGAACACCUGCGGCGAAGGCGGGUUGCUGGGCUGACACUGACGCUGAUGUGCGAAAGCUAGGGGAGCGAACGGGAUUAGAUACCCCGGUAGUCCUAGCCUUAAGCGAUGAAUGCUUGGUGUCUGGGGUUCUAUAGUCCCCGGGUGCCGUCGCUAACGCUUUAAGCAUUCCGCCUGGGGAGUACGGUCGCAAGACUG
rnacentral:rRNA from 1 species